rnacentral:rRNA from 1 species
GAAUUCGAUUCAGGCCUAACACAUGCAAGUCGAGCGGGGAAAGGUAGCUUGCUACCUGACCUAGCGGCGGACGGGUGAGUAAUGCUUAGGAAUCUGCCUAUUAGUGGGGGACAACAUUCCGAAAGGAAUGCUAAUACCGCAUACGCCCUACGGGGGAAAGCAGGGGAUCUUCGGACCUUGCGCUAAUAGAUGAGCUUAAGUGGGAUUAGCUAGUUGGUGGGGUAAAGGCCUACCAAGGCGAUGAUCUGUAGCGGGUCUGAGAGGAUGAUCCGCCACACUGGGACUGAGACACGGCCCAGACUCCUACGGGAGGCAGCAGUGGGGAAUAUUGGACAAUGGGGGAACCCUGAUCCAGCCAUGCCGCGUGUGUGAAGAAGACCUUAUGGUUGUAAAGCACAAGGAGCGAGGAGGAGGCUUACCUAGUUAAUACCUGGGAUAAGUGGACGUACUCGCAG